rnacentral:rRNA from 1 species
AUACGGAGGGUGCAAGCGUUAUUCGGAAUCACUGGGCGUAAAGGACGCGUAGGCGGGUUGGCAAGUCAGAUGUGAAAUCCUACAGCUUAACUGUAGAACUGCAUUUGAAACUGCUAACCUAGAGUAUGGGAGGGGGAGAUGGAAUUAGUGGUGUAGGGGUAAAAUCCGUAGAUAUCACUAGGAAUACCGAAAGCGAAGGCGAUCUCCUGGAACAUAACUGACGCUAAGGCGUGGAAGCGUGGGGAGCAAACAGGAUUAGAAACCCGAGUAGUCC